rnacentral:rRNA from 1 species
UUGAACGCUGGCGGAAUGCUUUACACAUGCAAGUCGAACGAGAAAGUCCGCAAGGACGAGUAGAGUGGCGCACGGGUGAGUAACGCGUAGAUAACCUACCCUCAAGUCUGGGAUAACCCUUCGAAAGGCGGGCUAAUACCGGAUAACACACCGAGGCGAAUGCCUGGGUGUUGAAAGUUGAGGCGCUUGGGGAUGGGUCUGCGUCCCAUUAGCUAGAUGGUAGGGUAACGGCCUACCAUGGCGACGAUGGGUAGCGGGUCUGAGAGGAUGAUCCGCCACACUGGCACUGAGACACGGGCCAGACUCCUACGGGAGGCAGCAGUGGGGAAUCUUGCGCAAUGGGCGAAAGCCUGACGCAGCAAUGCCGCGUGAGUGAAGAAGGCCUUCGGGUCGUAAAGCUCUUUAUCUGCGGGACGAUGAUGACGGUACCGCAGGAAUAAGCACCGGCUAACUACGU